GCCUUUGCCUACCUCUCAGUCUCAGAGGAACCCCUUCGUUGAGUUUUUUCCUCCUUUUGGCUCUUGCGUUUCUCUCACCCCAUCUCACCUCCGCCUGUCCAUCAUGAGCCUAUUCUAUUCCCUGUCCUAAGUUUGCACAAGAGACAAACCUGAGGCUCAGAUUGGGUAACACGGCCACAGGUUGACAGCCCAGAUGUGAUGAGCAGGAACAGAGAGAGCAGAGUCCCCAGGUGAAUGGUCAGGCCUUGGGGACUUCAACAAAGAAAGCUCGGCACAGUCACAGCAACUCUCCAAAUCAUGACGCUCAAAAUGCCACAUCUAAAAAGAACAUCCGGCAAUCAGCCAUGACUGCCUUUGCACUGUCCAUGCUCUCAGCCCACCACCUCCUCCCCCUGCCAUUGCAGUGGCUAACACUGGAGACGAAGACCAAGACACCACAGCCUUUCUCCAGUACCUCUCAAAUCAGCACAGACAAGGACAAAGGCCUCAAUCCACAACUGCUGAAGAUGGACCCUGGCCACAUGGGAUGGUCAGACACGCCUGCCCAGCUAUCUGCAGGCGAAGAGGCUCAGAAGAGGUUUAGGGGCCUGAAGGACAUCUUGCUUCCAUGUCCAUAUGAGCAGGCUAUUUCUGCUCCAUGAGUCAAUUUUGCCAUAUAAAAUACUUAAUUUCAGCCAUUCCAGGGUGCUAUAGGAUGCACAGCUUCCCAUCAGCCCACCUGAACUCCAGCCAUGCCAUUUUAAUACCAGGAAUAAGGUCACCUGCUUUCCUGCCCCUUAGGAGGCCGGAGCCGUGGAAGCAAAAUGGCACUUCUGUUUACCUGUUAUAUUAUUUUUUUGUCAUCCUUAUAUGUUUGAAAAAUGCAAUUAUAUGAAAAAAGUUUAGUAAUUACAGACAUAACAGCAGAAAGUCCUCGGAACCAAGCUUAUUCUCAUGGCCGAUUCUGCUCCACCUGGGACUCUGCUGUGCUGCGGGCAUCCUGUGGUCAGAAUCGCAGAGGGGCCAUCAGGGAGGACCUUCCCAGAGGAUGGACCUCACGUGACUGCUGCGUGGGCAAGUGGCACUGGCCACUCUGCCUGGAGAGAGGAGUAAAUGCAGGGCUGGCCAGGCGACCUGCACACUCUGCUACCGGCCUUGUCCAUCUUUAGCCUCUAAUUUGAAAAUGAGGAUCACACAGACCAAGAGUAUCUUUGAGGGGUGCAUUUCUCACCUGCACUGUGGUCCAGGAAACUCAAGUCACCGUCCCCACCAUGUUCUUCCUGACUUCGAAGCAGUCUGGUGACCCCAGGCAGGAACUGACUAGCAUGAGAGUCUUGAUGCAGGAGAAUUUUUGAAGAAAUUCAGAAGCAGAACCGAAAGGAGGAGAGAAGCCACCUCCACCCUGUCCACUAACCUUCAGUGGGAACAGCAGAUGCAACUGGCGGGGCUGAAGGAAACAGCAGGCAGUGAGAUGGAGUGAGAACUGGAAUAAGGCAAGGAAUAUUGCUGAGAUGGUUCUCAAAUCAAUGGAGAGAGAUGUCCGUGGAUGAAUCACAAAGGGAGGGAAUGGGUGCAAAGGCCUCACUGAGAUCCAAUGACAGCAGAAGCUGCCAGGAUCUGACGUAAACCAGUUUGGUUGAAGUGUUGGGGGAGGCUAUAUGACCACAUUUUGUUUCUAUUGGCACAAUUCCAUACAUGGAAAAUGUCAUGAGACUCAAAAAUGGGUUCAGCAGAAGCUCAAAAAUAUGCUACAAAAUUCAGGAAGAAGCUAAAAUAUUAUCAGAUUAUUUUAUAAAGGACACAACUAGUCAGGAACCUUUUGAAAACACCAGCAUGCAUCAUCCAAAGAAGUAGAAUCCAAUUAAAAAAAAAAAAAA
ensembl:lncRNA LINC00654 long intergenic non-protein coding RNA 654